rnacentral:rRNA from 1 species
UACGAAGGGGGCGAGCGUCGUUCGGAAUUACUGGGCGUAAAGGGUGUGUAGGCGGUUAUAUAAGAUAGUGGUGAAAUACCUGAGCUCAACUUAGGAACUGCCAUUAUAACUAUGUAGCUUGAAUGACAGAGAGGAUAGCGGAAUACCCAGUGUAGAGGUGAAAUUCGUAGAUAUUGGGUAGAACACCGGUGGCGAAGGCGGCUAUCUGGCUGUUAAUUGACGCUGAGGCACGAAAGCAUGGGGAUCAAAC